GUGCGACCCUUGGCAGCACAAAUAUUAAAACUGGAAUGACACAGAGAUUAGCAUGGUCCCUGCAUAAAGAUGACAUGCAAAUUUGUGAAGUGUCCCAUUUAAAA
ensembl:snRNA U6 U6 spliceosomal RNA